UACGUAGGGGGCAAGCGUUGUCCGGAUUUACUGGGCGUAAAGAGCGUGUAGGCGGCCACGCAGGUCCGUUGUGAAAACUGGAGGCUCAACCUCCAGCUGUCGACGGAAACCGUGUGGCUAGAGUCCGGAAGAGGAGAGUGGAAUUCCUGGUGUAGCGGUGAAAUGCGCAGAUAUCAGGAAGAACACCAAUGGCGAAGGCAGCAUCUCGUGG
rnacentral:rRNA from 1 species